rnacentral:rRNA from 1 species
UACGUAGGGAGCAAGCGUUGUCCGGAAUCAUUGGGCGUAAAGCGCGCGUAGGCGGCCCCGUAAGUCCGCUGUGAAAGUCAAAGGCUCAACCUUUGAAAGCCGGUGGAUACUGUGGGGCUAGAGUCCGGAAGAGGCGAGUGGAAUUCCCGGUGUAGCGGUGAAAUGCGCAGAUAUCGGGAGGAACACCAAUGGCGAAGGCAGCUCGCUGGGACGGUACUGACGCUGAGACGCGAAAGCGUGGGGAGCAA